UACGUAGGGGGCUAGCGUUGUCCGGAAUCAUUGGGCGUAAAGAGCGUGUAGGCGGCCCGGUAAGUCCGCUGUAAAAGUCAAAGGCUCAACCUUUGAAUGUCAGUGGAUACUGCCGGGCUAGAGUCCGGAAGAGGCGAGUGGAACUCCUGGUGUAGCGGUGGAAUGCGCAGAUAUCAGGAAGAACACCAACGGCGAAGGCAGCUCGCUGGGACGGUACUGACGCUGAGACGCGAAGCGUGGGGAGCGAACAGG
rnacentral:rRNA from 1 species